AAAUUGAAGAGUUUGAUCAUGGCUCAGAUUGAACGCUGGCGGCAGGCCUAACACAUGCAAGUCGAGCGGUAGCACAGAGAGCUUGCUCUCGGGUGACGAGCGGCGGACGGGUGAGUAAUGUCUGGGAAACUGCCUGAUGGAGGGGGAUAACUACUGGAAACGGUAGCUAAUACCGCAUAAUGUCGCAAGACCAAAGUGGGGGACCUUCGGGCCUCAUGCCAUCAGAUGUGCCCAGAUGGGAUUAGCUUGUAGGUGGGGUAACGGCUCACCUAGGCGACGAUCCCUAGCUGGUCUGAGAGGAUGACCAGCCACACUGGAACUGAGACACGGUCCAGACUCCUACGGGAGGCAGCAGUGGGGAAUAUUGCACAAUGGGCGCAAGCCUGAUGCAGCCAUGCCGCGUGUGUGAAGAAGGCCUUCGGGUUGUAAAGCACUUUCAGCGGGGAGGAAGGCG
rnacentral:rRNA from 1 species